CUGCGAUGGAGGGACGGAGAAGGCUAGGCCAGCUUGGCGUUGGUUGUCCAAGUUUAAGGUGGUAGGCUGAAAUCUUAGGUAAAUCCGGGGUUUCAAGGCCGAGAGCUGAUGACGAGUCGUCUUUUAGAUGACGAAGUGGUUGAUGCCAUGCUUCCAAGAAAAGCCUCUAAGCUUCAGGUAACCAGGAACCGUACCCCAAACCGACACAGGUGGUCGGGUAGAGAAUACCAAGGCGCUUGAGAGAACUCGGGUGAAGGAACUAGGCAAAAUGGCACCGUAACUUCGGGAGAAGGUGCGCCGGCUAGGGUGAAGGAUUUACUCCGUAAGCUCUGGCUGGUCGAAGAUACCAGGCCGCUGCGACUGUUUAUUAAAAACACAGCACUCUGCAAACACGAAAGUGGACGUAUAGGGUGUGACGCCUGCCCGGUGCCGGAAGGUUAAUUGAUGGGGUUAGCGCAAGCGAAGCUCUUGAUCGAAGCCCCGGUAAACGGCGGCCGUAACAAUAACGGUCCUAAGGUAGCGAAAUUCCUUGUCGGGUAAGUUCCGACCUGCACGAAUGGCGUAACGAUGGCGGCGCUGUCUCCACCCGAGACUCAGUGAAAUUGAAAUCGCUGUGAAGAUGCAGUGUAUCCGCGGCUAGACGGAAAGACCCCGUGAACCUUUACUGUAGCUUUGCACUGGACUUUGAGCCUGCUUGUGUAGGAUAGGUGGGAGGCUUUGAAGCGUGGACGCCAGUUCGCGUGGAGCCAUCCUUGAAAUACCACCCUGGCAUGCUUGAGGUUCUAACUCUGGUCCGUAAUCCGGAUCGAGGACAGUGUAUGGUGGGCAGUUUGACUGGGGCGGUCUCCUCCUAAAGAGUAACGGAGGAGUACGAAGGUGCGCUCAGACCGGUCGGAAAUCGGUCGCAGAGUAUAAAGGCAAAAGCGCGCUUGACUGCGAGACAGACACGUCGAGCAGGUACGAAAGUAGGUCUUAGUGAUCCGGUGGUUCUGUAUGGAAGGGCCAUCGCUCAACGGAUAAAAGGUACUCCGGGGAUAACAGGCUGAUACCGCCCAAGAGUUCAUAUCGACGGCGGUGUUUGGCACCUCGAUGUCGGCUCAUCACAUCCUGGGGCUGAAGCCGGUCCCAAGGGUAUGGCUGUUCGCCAUUUAAAGUGGUACGCGAGCUGGGUUUAGAACGUCGUGAGACAGUUCGGUCCCUAUCUGCCGUGGACGUUUGAGAUUUGAGAGGGGCUGCUCCUAGUACGAGAGGACCGGAGUGGACGAACCUCUGGUGUUCCGGUUGUCACGCCAGUGGCAUUGCCGGGUAGCUAUGUUCGGAAAAGAUAACCGCUGAAAGCAUCUAAGCGGGAAACUUGCCUCAAGAUGAGAUCUCACUGGGAACUUGAUUCCCCUGAAGGGCCGUCGAAGACUACGACGUUGAUAGGCUGGGUGUGUAAGCGUUGUGAGGCGUUGAGCUAA
rnacentral:rRNA from 1 species